GAUGAACGCUAGCGGCAGGCUUAACACAUGCAAGUCGAGGGGUAUUGGUUUUCGGACCAAGAGACCGGCGCACGGGUGCGUAACGCGUAUGCAAUCUACCUUUUGCAGAGGGAUAGCCCAGAGAAAUUUGGAUUAAUACCUCAUAGUAUAGUACUUUGGCAUCAAGGAACUAUUAAAGUCACAACGGCAAAAGAUGAGCAUGCGUCCCAUUAGCUAGUUGGUAAGGUAACGGCUUACCAAGGCUACGAUGGGUAGGGGUCCUGAGAGGGAGAUCCCCCACACUGGUACUGAGACACGGACCAGACUCCUACGGGAGGCAGCAGUGAGGAAUAUUGGACAAAUGGGGCGCAAGCCUGAUCCAGCCAUGCCGCGUGCAGGAUGACGGUCCUAUGGAUUGUAAACUGCUUUAUACAGGAAGAAACACUCCGACGUGUCGGAGCUUGACGGU
rnacentral:rRNA from 1 species